rnacentral:rRNA from 1 species
UAGGGAAUCUUCGGCAAUGGGGGGAACCCUGACCGAGCAACGCCGCGUGAGUGAAGAAGGUUUUCGGAUCGUAAAGCUCUGUUGUUAAGGAAGAACGAGUGUGAGAAUGGAAAGUUCAUACUGUGACGGUACUUAACCAGAAAGGGACGGCUAACUACGUGCCAGCAGCCGCGGUAAUACGUAGGUCCCAAGCGUUGUCCGGAUUUAUUGGGCGUAAAGCGAGCGCAGGCGGUUAGAUAAGUCUGAAGUUAAAGGCAGUGGCUCAACCAUUGUAGGCUUUGGAAACUGUUUAACUUGAGUGCAGAAGGGGAGAGUGGAAUUCCAUGUGUAGCGGUGAAAUGCGUAGAUAUAUGGAGGAACACCGGUGGCGAAAGCGGCUCUCUGGUCUGUAACUGACGCUGAGGCUCGAAAGCGUGGGGAGCGAACAGG